AAGCUGACUCCAGAUAUGAGGACUCAAUCUCCCAUGGAGCAUUUCUUUUUCCUACAACCGCACAUACACCAGGCUGUACAUUUCCUUUUUAUUUUUUGGUCAAGGAUUAUAAUUCAAAGUAUCAAAAUGUAGGCCUGGGUACAAGAUGUGUCAGAGCAAAAGGAUUCUUCUGUUCCUGUGUAAGUGUAAAUGCUCUAUAAAUACUCUAUAAAUUCAUAUUAACG